CUUUUGUUUAUUCUAUUAUCUCCAGCCCAAAGAACGAUUAUGUGGCAGAGUUCAAUGUCAUUUGCCCAUCUUUUGGAUUUCGGUUCAGAAUUAUAUACUGUAAAUUCAGAUAUUAUUGGGUGCAUUUAUUAUGGUGAAUUUUAAAAAAUGGACAACAUGUGGUUUUAAUCAUUGCAAUUUUUGAAGAAUGAAAAACAUGCGGG
rnacentral:lncRNA from 1 species